ensembl:lncRNA
GUUCUUUCAUUGACACAUGAGAGAAAUUAAAAGAUCUGCUUUCUCAAUCUCCCACAUGUAGAGAUGCUAAAAAAGAUGAUACAUCAGUAUCAGAGGAUUCCGACUCAGGGAGAAUGAAUGUAGGAGAUGAAGAAACACACAUUACAAUCUUCCUGUUCCCACCUCUAAUGAAUCAAACAGCACUCUGCAAUCACUUCUAAGUAAGAAGACAGGCUUUUGAUGGACACCAGGUGUGGGAGCUGGAAAAAUGAAGGAAUUGGAGGAGGACUCACAACUAAAAGUUUCCAGAGACGGGAAUAAGUGACAGAGUAAUAAGGUAGAUGAUCCCAGGUGCCAGCAGACAAACUCAGAAUGUGGGACAGUGUACAAAACAACUCAUCUAAUUUAUUCUGUAAAUUAAUGUCAUAUUGAAAAG